AAAACCUGAAAAAGAUAAUAUAUACAGCUCUUAUGACACUAAGAAAUACCAAAAUUUUCCAUUCGGCUGGAAAUUCCAAGCAAAAGGGACAGGAGUGCAAAUACGCAAGCACAGGAGCACAUGUUUCACUGUGAAAAUGAGGUUAAUACCACUGCAUGCCUGUAGAUAGGACAAGUGUGCUAGUCGACUUCACCUUGCACUACAUGACUACAGACAAUGACUCAUUGUUUUCUAAGGUGAACAAAUAGAGGCCAUUUGGAUCAUCUUCACCCUAUUGUACAAAUAUCUACCAAGUUUACAAGCUGAUCUUCAAAAUUAAUAAAAACAGUAACCUCAACUUUC